rnacentral:rRNA from 1 species
AGCGAACGCUGGCGGCAGGCUUAACACAUGCAAGUCGAGCGGGAACUUCGGUGUCAGCGGCAGACGGGUGCGUAACGCGUGGGAACGUACCCUUUGGUUCGGAAUAACGCUGGGAAAGUAGCGCUAAUACCGGAUACGCCCUUUUGGGGAAAGGCUUGCUGCCGAAGGAUCGGCCCGCGUCUGAUUAGCUAGUUGGUAGGGUAAUGGCCUACCAAGGCGACGAUCAGUAGCUGGUCUGAGAGGAUGAUCAGCCACACUGGGACUGAGACACGGCCCAGACUCCUACGGGAGGCAGCAGUGGGGAAUAUUGGACAAUGGGCGCAAGCCUGAUCCAGCCAUGCCGCGUGAGUGAUGAAGGCCUUAGGGUUGUAAAGCUCUUUUGUCCGGGACGAUAAUGACGGUACCGGAAGAAUAAGCCCCGGCUAACUUCGUG